rnacentral:pre_miRNA from 1 species
AAAAAGACAAACCCUGGGUUUCCGUGUCCAACGUUUGACCGUCCGUCUUAUUUCAAAAAAUUAUGAAAAAAAAAUUAAAAAGACAAGUCACGCAUAAAGUAUUAAUCAUGUUUUAUCAUCUAACAACAAUAAAAAUACUAAUUAUAAAAAAAUUCAUAUAAGACGGACAGUUAAACGUUGGACACGGAAACUCAGGAUUUGUCUUUUU